rnacentral:misc_RNA from 1 species
UACGGAGGAUCCAAGCGUUGUUCGGAAUCACUGGGCGUAAAGCGCUCGCAGGCGGGUGCGGAAGUCGGGGGUGAAAGGCCGGGGCUCAACCCCGGACCGUUCUCUCGAUACUCCGUGCCUAGGGACCGGUAGAGGCCAGUAGAAUUCCCGGAGUAGCGGUGGAAUGCGUAGAUAUCGGGAAGAACACCAGAGGCGAAGGCGACUGGCUGGGCCGGAUCCGACGCUCAGGAGCGGAAGCGUGGGGAGCAAACAGG